UCUGCUGUAUCUGGGUAAAGAAGGUACACAGGUGAAGCUUUGGGCCUAAUCUGUGAAAGAAAGCAAGAAAGAAAGAAAGAAUGAAAGAAAGAAAGAAAGCAACCAACCCAGGUUGGAUGUGGAGACAGCGGGAUGACGCGUUAAUCCCUCGCUGACGAAGGAGAAGGUGGAGGAGAACGUGAACUUCAAACUGCAGAGCAGCGAGCUGUCGAAUGGGCUGACCAAUCAUGAGCAUCAGAGGCAUACACAGAUGGAGGCAGCCUUUUGUUGUGCGCCGCACUCAUCAAGUUAGAAGACAACUGCCGAAUUGGCCUGAAGAAAAUUAAAAGAUGGAACAUCUUAUCCAAUCAGGCUGGUCAGCGUGUGUUGGUGUGAGUGGGUGGCAGGAUUUCAGUGCCAUUCAUGAUGUCAAGUGGGACCAUGGCCGCUCGUCUAUUCCCAGCCUGGCCAACCCUC